rnacentral:lncRNA from 1 species
GUUGCCCUUUUAUGUUAUUAUGUUAUACAAGUUCAGAUCAUUUGAAAACACAUAUUAAACAGCCAAAUGGAUGCACAAGAGCUAAAAUAGGAGUCAUAGAUCCUGUUGGCAACAAUUAUCUGGCUAAUUUUAUUGAUUUUGUAACAUUUGUUUCAAAUAUGACCAACUUCUUAUCCAAAAUCACCAGCACCGUAUCAGGACCCACCAGCACAAUGACAGGACCCACCAGCACAGUAUCAGGAC